rnacentral:lncRNA from 1 species
UGGCGCGUCUUUUACUUACCCUAACUGAUCCAUUUCCUAUUAGCCAGACACUUGUCAUCUUGGAACCCUUGGUAUAGAGUGUACAAUCUGGUGUCUUCAACAUACUAUUCGCGGAGCGUUCCAGAUCGCUUUGAAUAGCAGGAGAAAGGUUUCCCAGCGAAGGAUGGAUACUUAGGACAUCUCCUGGCUUCGGGAUCCUUACUGAAGGAGGACUUCUCGAAAGCUUUUCAAGGUCGUUCUAGUUUGGAGUUGAAAACCAUUUAUACACAAAACAAUUACUCAAUCAGUAUUACACAAAAAAAAUCCAACGAAGUAAAAUUGAAACAUGAAGUAAGUUUACCUGAACAAAAUCAUGUACAGGAAGAAGAACUUUCUCAGGGAGAAAGGUUUCCCAGCGAAGGAUGGAUACUUAGGACAUCUCCUGGCUUCGGGAUCCUUACUGAAGGAGGACUUCUCAAAAGCUUUUCAAGGUCGUUCUAGUUUGGAGUUGAAAACCAUUUAUACACAAAACAAUUACUCAAUCAGUAUUACACAAAAACAAUGCAACGCAGUAAAAUUGACACAUGAAGUAAAGUUACCUGG